rnacentral:rRNA from 1 species
AUUGAACGCUGGCGGCGUGCCUAACACAUGCAAGUCGAGCGGUAACAGGUGUAGCAAUACAUGCUGACGAGCGGCGAACGGGUGAGUAAUGCUUCGGAAUCUACCUUAUGGAGGGGAAUAACUAGCAGAAAGGUUAGCUAAUACCGCAUACGUCCUACGGCAGAAAGCAGGGGAACGCAAGACCUUGCGCAAAAAGAUGAGCCGAAGUCGGAUUAGCUAGUUGGUAGGGUAACGGCCUACCAAGGCGACGAUCCGUAGCUGGUCUGAGAGGACGACCAGGUAGAGGGGGUGAGAGGCACGGCGCAGACUCCUAGGGGGGGAAGCGGUGGGAAAUAUUGGACAAGGGGGGAAAUCCUGAUCCGGCGACGCCGCGUGUGUGACGAAGGCCUGCGGGUUGUAAAGCACUUUUAGUGGGGAGGAAAUAUGCAGGGUUAAUACCUCUGCAUUUUGACCUAACCCACAGAAAAAGCACCGGCUAACUCUGUGCCAGCCGCCGCCGUAA